CUGAAAGUGGGGGGGGGGGUCUGCGGGUGCAAUCUCUCGAUAGACGGAUGACGUAUCCAUGACCGUCAAUGAGUCUGGUUGAAUCAGUCGUCUGAGUUUGUGCGGUGCGAUUAUUCUUAAUAAACCACGACACUGGUGGAACUUCGUUUAAAUUUCAUACGCAUCGUGAGCCGGAAUCGAAGUUCAUAAUCCAUCUGCGCGAACUAGAUUGAAAUCUAUGGAAGAUAGAACUCUAGAUAAUAAAAAAGAACAUGCAGAGCGACUCACCCUGUCGGCCUAGGCAGUUGUCUGAGCUUGUUUCAUUUCUGUGCAGGCUUUUUCCCACUCGUUCUAUAAUCUCCCACUGCAUCACGCUUUCGAGUAGCAUCUCUAGUAUCCCUGCAUGUUCUGCUAUCUUUAGAUCGGUAGGUCCUAUUUCAGAGGGUGGACUUCAAUCAUGCAGAACUCCCUGGUCCACAUGAAAUUGCUCCAGCUUUAGAUUACAGAGAUUUCUCCAGCCCAAUUUCUCCAAAAAUACACCUAUUUUUCCUUUCUGAUCCGAAGUGAAUUUUGUUUGGAACCUCUUCUUCAUGGUAGAUGGCGACCUGCCAAAAUCACCAUCUCCAUCUUCUGACUUUGCUAAUCUGGGUCCCAACAAGUAAUGCUAGAACUGAUUCACAGGACUGAUCAUUUGUGAUGGGGACGGAAGAGCUGAGAAUACUAGUCUGAGAAAGAAAUCCGGAAGCUGUCAUCCGGUUAUGGUUGGAACUUACAGGAGAGGCUUAGAGGAGAGGCUUCUCCAUCGCAUAUAUUCAACCUCUCCUACUGCUAUGGACAUCUUCAGUGCACCUUUUCCUCCUCUUGACAUCUUCGGUGCGUCCUACCUUCAUCCAUUGCAGAUUUGGCAUUGCAGCGAGUGCCUCGGAUUGCUACUGGAACCCUGAUGCUUGUAUUCCAGAGGUGCGUUGUCGUGAAUUUCAGAGCAUUUUCUUUGUCAUGAUUUGAUUGACGUUAGGAAUCAAAACCAGUUGUGCUAAUGGAACUUAUCUAUGGAGGUGGAUUGUGAGGAAAUGUAUGGUGGUUCGACUUUACUUUUGAUCAUUUUGGACUGAUUUAGUAAAACCACAUGUGCUUGAGUGGCUGGGAGGAAUAUCUGUGGUAGAUGCCAUCACUUAGCACUGUGACUUGUUAUGGUCGACUAAUAUUCCAUGCGAAUUCGUUCCAUCUUCCAAGGGAUUCGUUUCCUAAAAAUGAGAUCAGUUCUUGCGACUACGGUGGAAGAAAUGACGGGUAUAUCACAAUGGUUACGGAAUUCCCUUCACUGUACACUUUGAGUUGAGUUGCAUUGGCAUGUUGUGAAUAGAUUGAUGUGUUGCCACUCUAAGAAACUUCAGUGAAGAAACAUUGUGCAACAGUUUCAGGCUGUGUUUUGACAUUUUCUACUGUUUUUUUUUUUUUUUUCAACAAAACAAUCGUAUCAAUCGUGGAUACAAUGCCAGGGGAUUUCUCAAUAUCCUCUGAAUGACUGUUAUUGGCAAUGUGCUCUGAAUGUUGCUGCUUCCAAUUUAGACUAAAGCUCUCGCCCUUCAAAUCUGUUUACCAUAGUCGCUAGAAAUCACGGCCCCUCCAUACCCCUUCACUCCUUCACACAUGCCAACAAUCACUCCUAUUCUCAAUGUGCUUGGCUUGGCUUCUUCUACAGCUUCAAUUUUGCAAGAGAAGGUUACCUCAAGACUUCAAAUCUGGAUCGAGCUCACGGGAAGUCCACAUGAUAGUUGUCUCUUGUAGUCGCGUUGCUUAGUUUUAAUAGGUUUCAGGUGUGUCAAGGGAAAUGUACUUGGCCCAUUGUAUCUGGCUAGUAGAGUAGACCAAGCACUAGCUUCAGUGAAAGGAGUUGAAAGCACAUAGAGCCUUUUCAUUGCAAAAGGCGAUGACCUUGAACAGGAUGCAUAAUUCUCAUGUAACGCUAAUUUUUGGUGGAGAAAUAUGGUCGUUCUAGAGCCCGUCAGGUGUUUUGAAGGCCAAGUGACAAGGUAAAAAUCGAAAGUUUCUCACUGUGAAUGGUACGGCGACAUGGAUUCGUGCAUGUAGGCACAGCAUUGGACUGCAUGAGAACAAUUGAAGACCCAAUUUUGGACAUAGGGUGCAAGAUAUAAGGAUGCUAGUUGUUGACAAAUUGGCUUUGAAUUUGUUUGAUGUGGACAAAAUCGAGGAAUUGUCUCCGUGUAAUGUAUCUAGUGUGGUACUCGGGUAAAGUUCAAUUAAGGUUCAGUGGUUUGGACUGUUCAAUUGAGUUUGAAA